GGAGACAAGGGGAGAUUGAGGUUGGGGGAGAGAGAGGACGCUCUGUUUUACACCCUUCCAACCUGACGCCACCAGGGCUGGGAUGGUGACAGGCCCUGGACUCAGCGUUCAGAGCAGCUGACUCCGUGGACAAGAAGCAGAUAAACUGCACCAGGUCUCUUAAUGAACCCAGCGCCAGCUUCAGAUAAACUGUCGCCACUUACUCCUCCCCGCCCUCCUUCAGGAAAGACUCCGCUUUGCAUCAGCUAUGGGCUUGGAGCAGAAGCUGAGAUCUCAGUGCUGGCUGCUCUCCAGGGAAGUUCUGGAGGGAGCAGAGACUUCAGGGAACUCUGAUGAGAACCUUGAUUCCUCUUAACUCCAGCUGAACCCAAGUCUCCAGGACCAAUGACAAGCAGAAAACUCACAACUGUCUGAAAAACACAGGGCUCAAGCCAACAGCUGCAAAAGCCUGAAGUUGAUGAGUGUGGAAUUUACAUGCUUACACUGGAAAACAGGCUCUGCUGCAUUUUCUUUGACUGGAAGCAGGAAGUGUGGGAAAAGUCAAGCGCAUUGACUGAAUCCAGUUUGGAGCCAGGGGUCAGCAGAAGGAGAUUGUUGGGUGGCAGUAACUGUGGACUGCCUGUUAACAUCCGCUAAUGUUUGGGGUUCUCUCUGAGAUUUUUGAUGGGAAAAACCUGAAGUUAACCAGGCAGGGGAUCUCAGUGCAUCAAACGGACACAGGGCUGAAUGGGAAAUGCCUAGUUUUCUUUGCUCCCUUCCCCAAGAGGGCAGAAAUGAAGGAAAGUUCUGAGGAGAGUUGAAUUAUUAUGCUGCAAGAAGUUUUCUGAAGAUCUGCGUUAUGAAGAUGGAUCCCAUUAGUAAAUUUGACAGCUAUUCCACUCCUCCUUGCAUUUUAGCAUCUCAAGCCAAAAUAUAAAUGAAAGGAAUACACUAUAUCUCAAAGGAAGCUAUCAAUCCUUACCCUCCCUGAGUGGGCACAAUUUGGGGGUUCUUCUACUUAGGUUGGGCUGGUUUUGCUGCUUUACCCACAUACUCUCAUCCAACACUCUUUGUGUCUGGUGAAGUCUGUGAGCCAUCAGACAGAGAAGUCUAUAAUUUUAUCUUCCUUUGUGCGCAUCAGACCCUACGCUGCAGAGUGAGGGAAGCCUAUGUGCAACAAGACACAAUGUGGCCUUUGAUCAUAUGAAGAUUGGAGAGGCUUGGUUCAUCCUUGCCCAGCUUCUUUGGAAAUCAGCACAAUGACAUUUUCCCUUCUAUAUAGUGAUCUGGGUAGGCAGGGAUAAUACAAUAUAAUAUAGUAUAGUAUAAUAUAGUAUAAUAUAAAUGACUUUUUUCCUUCUAUAUAAUGAUCUGGGCAGGCAGGGAUUCAAGUCUUCUGAUAUGGGUGGGAGAAAGCCCUCCCUUUGUCCUUACCCUGCUCAACUUGUUUUGGCCAGGAAAUCUAGCCUUGGGAUUUUCUAAGAGUUAGAUCAGAAAGGAAGAGAGUACUAGGCUGGGAGUAGUGGCUUACGUCUGAGACAUACUAGGCAGGAAGUGGUGGCUUAUGCCUGUAAUCCAAGCACUUUGGGAAGCUGAGACGGGAGGAUCACUUGAGCCCAGGAGUUUGAGACCAACCUGGGUAGCAUAGUGAAACCCUGACUCAUUUAUUUAACUUAAAAAAAAAUUAAAAUAAGAGAGUACCAGCUUCAGGGUAUAUCUAUUAGAUAUGUCAGUUUCCAGGGGUUGUUUGCAGGGAUGUAUAACCCCAUUCCUAUUCCCUUUAAUUUAGCUGGUUUUUCGUCUCAUAGCAUUGCUGGGGGCAGGUAGGUUUCUUUCCCUUCCUACUAUUCCACCCACUCAGAUCUUCUACUCCAAGCUAUUUGUAAGCUCAUUCAUUCAUCCAACACAUAUGGGACACCAAUAGCGUGCAGAGCACCACAUAGGCAUGGGAGAGAACUGACCACUUCUUCCUUGGCACCCCAGUGUUCCCUAUGCAGACUUCUGUCACAAACCUAACAGCAUUUUAUUGCAUUUAUUUGAUAUGUCUUCAGAUAUCUCCCUUUAAAAGACAAUACACAGCUGAGGGAAGGAAUUGUACUAGUAUUUUUUUUUUUUUUUUGAGACGGCGUCUGGCUCUGUCACCCAGGCUGGAGUGCAAUGGCGUGAUGUCAGCUCACUGCAAUCUCCACCCCCCGGGUUCGAGCGGUUCUCCUGCCUCG
rnacentral:lncRNA from 10 species